rnacentral:misc_RNA from 1 species
UCGCUUACCAUCUACCACUGCCAC